UACAGAGGGUGCAAGCGUUAAUCGGAAUUACUGGGCGUAAAGCGUGCGUAGACGGUUACAUAAGUCGGGUGUGAAAGCCCCGGGCUCAACCUGGGAAUUGCAUUGGUGACUGGCAGGCUUUGAGUGUGGCAGAGGGGGGUAGAAUUCCACGUGUAGCAGUGAAAUGCGUAGAGAUGUGGAGGAAUACCGAUGGCGAAGGCAGCCCCCUGGGCCAACACUGACGCUCAUGCACGAAAGCGUGGGGAGCAAACAGG
rnacentral:rRNA from 1 species